CAUUAGAAUGCCAGGCCCUAAAAGAAAAAUGCAAUCUUCUGAACCUCCAGUUAAGAAGAAAAGGGUGGAUCAGAGUUUGGUAGCAUCUGAUAAAUCUGGUCGAAUGUAUCAGAUGCCCCAGAGGUCUACAAGGGCUGGAGCUUCACAAAAGAAAGAUUUAGUUCAGUCCAAAGGUUCUUCAGGACGCCUGAAAAAGGGGAGGGAAGGGCAACCUCGUCGGUCCUCCAGACUGAAAACAAACCCAAAGAAAUUGGCAAAUAGAAAAAGGCAGAGAGUAUCAAAUACUGUGUCAAAAGAAACAGGCUCCAAGCAUGGUGCUGCAGUUUCAGAUACACCUGGUGACAAAACAUGUCAGACUUUGCCAGUCCUAAAAAAAGGAAGCCGGAAAUACUCUCCAAGAGUGAAGAGAGGUAAAUGUCAGUCUCCCCCUUUGGAAAGAGUGAACACGGUGUUAACAGCUCUUGACCCUGUCCUAAUAGAGCACAGCUAUGUUCAACCUCCUGAUUCACAAAGUGAAGAGACAACAAUGCAAGACAAACGCAAGGCUGGAGGAAACGCGGGCCUGACGGACCAAGAUCCUGCCGUGUGUGUUUCAUUGACCGUAGAGAAUGAAGCCAUUGAAGCCAUUGAAGCUAAGCCACCAAGCGUGAUAUCAGUUGAGCAAAAAGAGCUCUCAAAUGAUACCAGUGAGAAAAUGCCUGUAAAUGUAGACGCUAAGGUGAGUCUGACGAGACAUUCCUCACCACCUCUCCAAGCACUUUUUAAAGUUAUUCAAGAGACUAGCUUCAGCAAACAUGGCUUUAAUAGUAAAAAUAUCUCUGUGGAUGAGCUUGAGGUGGUGAAUACAUGUUUCCUGCAGGAUACUGUUCAGAGUACAGAGAUCUCUGGUCCACCUGGAAUAAUGCAGUGCCCUCUCACAUCAGAGAUUUUUUUUAAGCUUGAUGAUAUUGGGAUUGAACACUGUGUGGUUGAGAUCGAAACUGUGGAAGAAGUAGUUGAGGCUGAAACAGAGGAGGACUCAGUCGGUGACUGUGUAGCCUCCGAAAAUAACCAACAACCACCCCAGGACUUGCAGGAAUCAACUGGACUCAAAGAAACCAGCAGAGCUGUGGUAUGCAAGGAGAGCAUGUUGACUCCUUCCCUGCCACAGGACAGUGCAAAAGACUCCACUCAAGGUUCCCCUGCACAAGCGAGCUCUGAACCUCCUAAGAAGCAAGCGAUGAACCCUCAGGCCAGAACCAAAGCUCGCCUGGCAGCACUGGCUGAAGAGAGGGCUGCCGCUGCUAAGAAACCGGCCCCCAAGCAGCUCAAUCUCCUGGCUCUGUGCGAGGAGAUCGCAGAUGACAUUGCUUCUGACACAGCAACGGCCAGCGAAGAAACAGUGGAAGGAAUCGCCCCGUCUGAUGACGUGAACCACAGCAAACUUGAGGUGGAGGAUUCACUUCUCCCCACUGCUUCUUGUGACCCGCUUCCCUCUGAAAGCCCAACUGAGGACACGGUUGAGGACACAGCUGAGCACACACUACAAGAGAAAACCCCCACGAAGCGCUUCUUCCUCAGCCAAGUGAACGUCCCGCUCAAAACGCAAGAGAAGAAGAAGCUGUCCCGCUUCCAGAGACUGCGGCAGGUGGAGCUGCAGAGGGAUAAACUGACGUGGACACGUGUUAAGAAGCUGAAGACCGAACAGGCUAGUCAGGACACCGUGAAAGACUCUGUGCAGUCGCCUGUCUCGGCAUCUGCUAGACAAGACAGCCCUCCUCCCGAAAUUGUCUCGCCAGCUGCGCCCAAAGUGGGACUCGGUGAACGCAGGAGGGCCCUCCCUGCUGUAGCUCCACCCAUGCCCAACGGGAUUACCAGCCCAAAGCCCAAGCCUGUUAUAGACUAUAAGGCGUACAAACCCAGACCAAAGUACUCACCGGAUGACUUUGAGCUGGAUGGACCAGAAGAAGAAAGCGGCAAGUCAGUUACCCCCAGACACGAGGGGAGAAUGGAGCAUCCCUCAUCUGUGGCAGACGAGCCCUCGAAAACCUUGGCAAGUCAGGCAUGUCCCCAGGGUCCUGCAGGUAAGAUUCAGUGUGUGGAGGAACUCCCUAUUC
ensembl:lncRNA